GACCUCGUAGCUCAAUUGGAUAGAGCAUUCCCCUCCUAAGGGAAAGGUUGGAGGUUCGACCCCUCUCGAGGUCGCCA
rnacentral:tRNA from 1 species